rnacentral:rRNA from 1 species
GACGAACGCUGGCGGCGCGCUUAACACAUGCAAGUCGAGCGAGAACCGGCCCUUCGGGGCCGGGGAAAGCGGCGAACGGGUGAGUAACACGUGGGUAAUCUGCCCUUGGUACCGGGAUAGCUCGGGGAAACCCGGAUUAAUACCGGAUGGCCCUUUGAAUUAGCGGAUUCAAAGGAAAAGGUAGCUUCGGCCUCCGACCAAGGAUGAGCCCGCGGCGGAUUAGCUUGUUGGUGGGGUAACGGCCCACCAAGGCGACGAUCCGUAGCUGGUCUGAGAGGACGAUCAACCACACUGGGACUGAGACACGGCCCAGACUCCUACGGGAGGCAGCAGUGGGGAAUCUUGCGCAAUGGGCGAAAGCCUGACGCAGCGACGCCGCGUGAGGGAAGAAGGCCUUCGGGUUGUAAACCUCUUUCAGGAGGGACGAAGCCACUCGGGUUAAUAGCCCAGAGGGUGACGGUACCUCCAGAAGAAGCCCCGGCUAACUACGUGCCAGCCGCCGCCGUAACAC